AUCUUCUACCACAGAUUGAGGCCUCGAGGCGUGGUUGCACAGGUGGGACCCUCGGACAGCGCCAAUCAGAGAGCAGCACUACUGAAAUAGAACUCUCAGGAGGUAACAGCGUGUCACACAUGUGAUGUCAUAACCAUUGUCCACCAGAGAGCAGCACUGAGCAGAUAUAACACUGCUCCUGCUCAUUCUUCAUCAGUGAGGGGCUGAUGCUGGACACUGUAGGGGCCGAGAAUGCAAAGUCACAUACACUACUGUGACUGAUGCACUAUUUCCAGGAUGUGGAGUAGCAUUUCCGGACCUACAGCAAGACAUUGGAUGAAGACGGAGAUUUCCAGACCUAUUCCAGAAGAAUUUGGAUGAAGGCACAGCCCCUCGAAUCACGCACAUACACAGACACAUUUGCCCAAACUCUAGAGGUAACCUCCUUUAGUAUGCCCAGAGGAAGGGCAAUACAGUAGCCAUGGAUUCCCUACAGGUUUCCUCCCCUCUGGAGGUUUUUCCUGUCCUGAGUAUUAGUUACUGUACGCUCUUUGUGAGUGAUGGAGGUUACAAGAAAUCCCCUACACAAACAUUUUUAUAUAUAAUAAAUAAAGUUCCCCUUUUUAAACCAUUC